UGGGGAUAUUGGACAAUGGGGGAACCCUGAUCCAGCGACGCCGCGUGAGUGAAGAAGUAUUUCGGUAUGUAAAGCUCUAUCAGCAGGGAAGAAAGAAAUGACGGUACCUGAGUAAGAAGCCCCGGCUAACUACGUGCCAGCAGCCGCGGUAAUACGUAGGGGGCAAGCGUUAUCCGGAUUUACUGGGUGUAAAGGGAGCGUAGACGGCGAUGCAAGUCUGGAGUGAAAAGCCCGGGGCCCAACCCCGGGAGCUGCUUUGGAAAUACUGUGUAGCUGGAGUACAGGAGGGGCAGGCGGAAUUCCUGGUGUAGCGGUGAAAUGCGUAGAUAUCAGGAGGAACACCGGCGGCGAAGGCGGCCUGCUGGACUGAAACUGACGUUGAGGCUCGAAAGCGUGGGGAGCAAACAGGAUUAGAUACC
rnacentral:rRNA from 1 species